CAGUCGCCACGGGAAAACGAAGGGGGCUAGCGUUGCUCGGAAUGACUGGGCGUAAAGGGCGCGUAGGCGGAUUGUUUAGUUAGGCGUGAAAUUCCUGGGCUCAACCUGGGGGCUGCGUUUGAUACUUGAUUGCUAGAGUGGGGAAGAGGGUCGUGGAAUUCCCAGUGUAGAGGUGAAAUUCGUAGAUAUUCGGAAGAACACCAGUGGCGAAGGCGGCUCACUGGCUCAUUCUAGACGCUGAGGUGCGAAAGCGUGGGGAGCAAACAGGAUUAGAUACCCCUGUAGUCCCUGUCUCUUAUAC
rnacentral:rRNA from 1 species